AACGAACGCUGGCGGCAUGCCUAACACAUGCAAGUCGAACGAGACCUUCGGGUCUAGUGGCGCACGGGUGCGUAACGCGUGGGAACCUGCCCUUAGGUUCGGAAUAACUCCCCGAAAGGGGUGCUAAUACCGGAUAAUGUCUUCGGACCAAAGAUUUAUCGCCUUUGGAUGGGCCCGCGUUGGAUUAGCUAGUUGGUAGGGUAAAAGCCUACCAAGGCGACGAUCCAUAGCUGGUCUGAGAGGAUGAUCAGCCACACUGGGACUGGGACACGGCCCAGACUCCUAGGGGAGGGAGCAGUGGGGAAUAGUGGACAAUGGGCGGAAGCCUGAUCCAGCAAGGCCGCGUGAGUGAUGAAGGCCUUAGGGUUGUAAAGCUCUUUUACCCGGGAUGAUAAUGACAGUACCGGGAGAAUAAGCUCCGGCUAACUCCGUG
rnacentral:rRNA from 1 species